rnacentral:rRNA from 1 species
GUCUACGGCCAUACCACCCUGAACGCACCAGAUCUCGUCUGAUUUCGGAAACUAAGCAGGGUCGGGCCUGGUUAGUACUUGGAUGGGAGACUAUUACAUGUUUGUUUUGGUAUUUAUAUAUU